rnacentral:rRNA from 1 species
AACCGAGAUUCCCCCAGUAGCGGCGAGCGAACGGGGAGCAGCCCAGAGCCUGAAUCAGUGUGUGUGUUAGUGGAAGCGUCUGGAAAGGCGUGCGAUACAGGGUGACAGCCCCGUACACAAAAAUGCACAUAUUGUGAGCUCGAUGAGUAGGGCGGGACACGUGGUAUCCUGUCUGAAUAUGGGGGGACCAUCCUCCAAGGCUAAAUACUCCUGACUGACCGAUAGUGAACCAGUACCGUGAGGGAAAGGCGAAAAGAACCCCGGCGAGGGGAGUGAAAAAGAACCUGAAACCGUGUACGUACAAGCAGUGGGAGCACGCUUAGGCGUGUGACUGCGUACCUUUUGUAUAAUGGGUCAGCGACUUAUAUUCUGUAGCAAGGUUAACCGAAUAGGGGAGCCGAAGGGAAACCGAGUCUUAACUGGGCGUUAAGUUGCAGGGUAUAGACCCGAAACCCGGUGAUCUAGCCAUGGGCAGGUUGAAGGUUGGGUAACACUAACUGGAGGACCGAACCGACUAAUGUUGAAAAAUUAGCGGAUGACUUGUGGCUGGGGGUGAAAGGCCAAUCAAACCGGGAGAUAGCUGGUUCUCCCCGAAAGCUAUUUAGGUAGCGCCUCGUGAAUUCAUCUCCGGGGGUAGAGCACUGUUUCGGCAAGGGGGUCAUCCCGACUUACCAACCCGAUGCAAACUGCGAAUACCGGAGAAUGUUAUCACGGGAGACACACGGCGGGUGCUAACGUCCGUCGUGAAGAGGGAAACAACCCAGACCGCCAGCUAAGGUCCCAAAGUCAUGGUUAAGUGGGAAACGAUGUGGGAAGGCCAAGACAGCCAGGAUGUUGGCUUAGAAGCAGCCAUCAUUUAAAGAAAGCGUAAUAGCUCACUGGUCGAGUCGGCCUGCGCGGAAGAUGUAACGGGGCUAAACCAUGCACCGAAGCUGCGGCAGCGACGCUUAUGCGUUGUUGGGUAGGGGAGCGUUCUGUAAGCCUGUGAAGGUGUACUGUGAGGUAUGCUGGAGGUAUCAGAAGUGCGAAUGCUGACAUAAGUAACGAUAAAGCGGGUGAAAAGCCCGCUCGCCGGAAGACCAAGGGUUCCUGUCCAACGUUAAUCGGGGCAGGGUGAGUCGACCCCUAAGGCGAGGCCGAAAGGCGUAGUCGAUGGGAAACAGGUUAAUAUUCCUGUACUUGGUGUUACUGCGAAGGGGGGACGGAGAAGGCUAUGUUGGCCGGGCGACGGUUGUCCCGGUUUAAGCGUGUAGGCUGGUUUUCCAGGCAAAUCCGGAAAAUCAAGGCUGAGGCGUGAUGACGAGGCACUACGGUGCUGAAGCAACAAAUGCCCUGCUUCCAGGAAAAGCCUCUAAGCAUCAGGUAACAUCAAAUCGUACCCCAAACCGACACAGGUGGUCAGGUAGAGAAUACCAAGGCGCUUGAGAGAACUCGGGUGAAGGAACUAGGCAAAAUGGUGCCGUAACUUCGGGAGAAGGCACGCUGAUAUGUAGGUGAAGUCCCUCGCGGAUGGAGCUGAAAUCAGUCGAAGAUAC